GACGAACGCUGGCGGCGUGCUUAACACAUGCAAGUCGAACGGUGAAGCGCCGUCCUUUUUGGUGGGUGUGGAUGAGCGGAGAACGGGGGAGUAAGACGUGAGUAACCUGCUCCCUUCUGGUGGAUAACCGCAUGAAAGUGUUGCUAAUACGGGAUAUUUUGGGUCUGUCGCUUGAAGGGUCUGGGAAGGAUUUUGUUUCGGUGGGGGAUGGGCUCGCGUCCUAUAAGCUUGUUGGUGGGGUGAUGGCCUACCAAGGCGGUGACGGGUAGCCGGCCGGGGAGGGUGGACGGUCACACAGGGAGUGAGAGACGGACCAGACUCCGACGGGAGGCAGCAGGGAGGAUUAGUGAACAAUGGGAGCCAGGCUGAUGCAGCGCCGCCGCGUGAAGGAUGGUGGCCGGCGGGUUGAGAACCUCUUUCGCGAGUGAAGCAGGCCUGCCUCGAUUGUGGAUGGGUUGACGGUAGCUGGAUAAGAAGCGCCGGCUAACUACGUG
rnacentral:rRNA from 1 species